rnacentral:rRNA from 1 species
GACGAACGCUGGCGGCGUGCUUAACACAUGCAAGUCGAACGGAAAGGCCCUGCUUUUGUGGGGUGCUCGAGUGGCGAACGGGUGAGUAACACGUGAGUAACCUGCCCUUGACUUUGGGAUAACUUCAGGAAACUGGGGCUAAUACCGGAUAGGAGCUCCUGCUGCAUGGGGGGGGUUGGAAAGUUUCGGCGGUUGGGGAUGGACUCGCGGCUUAUCAGCUUGUUGGUGGGGUAGUGGCUUACCAAGGCUUUGAAGGGUAGCCGGCCUGAGAGGGUGACCGGCCACAUUGGGCCUGCGAUACGGCCCAGACUCCUACGGGAGGCAGCAGUGGGGAAUAUUGCACAAUGGGCGGAAGCCUGAUGCAGCAACGCCGCGUGCGUGAUGACGUCCUUCGGGUUGUAAACCGCUUUCGCCUGUGACGAAGCGUGAGUGACGGUAAUGGGUAAAGAAGCACCGGCUAACUACGUG